GAGUGAACGCUGGCGGUAGGCCUACCCCAUGCAAGUCGAACGGCAGCACAGUAAGAGCUUGCUCUUACGGGUGGCGAGUGGCGGACGGGUGAGGAAUACAUCGGAAUCUACUUUUUCGUGGGGGAUAACGUAGGGAAACUUACGCUAAUACCGCAUACGACCUACGGGUGAAAGCAGGGGAUCUUCGGACCUUGCGCGAUUGAAUGAGCCGAUGUCGGAUUAGCUAGUUGGCGGGGUAAAGGCCCACCAAGGCGACGAUCCGUAGCUGGUCUGAGAGGAUGAUCAGCCACACUGGAACUGAGACGCGGUCCAGACUCCUACGGGAGGCAGCAGUGGGGAAUAUUGGACAAUGGGCGCAAGCCUGAUCCAGCCAUACCGCGUGGGUGAAGAAGGCCUUCGGGUUGUAAAGCCCUUUUGUUGGGAAAGAAAAGCAGCAGGUUAAUACCCCGCUGUUCUGACGGUACCCAAAGAAUAAGCACCGGCUAACUUCGUG
rnacentral:rRNA from 1 species